rnacentral:tRNA from 1 species
GGAGAGGUGGCCGAGUGGUUUAAGGCGCACGCCUGGAACGCGUGUGUAGUAGAAAUACUACCGUGAGUUCGAAUCUCACCCUCUCCGCCA